GCACCGGCCAAUUAUGUUAAAGGCCACAGUAACUUUCCAAUUAGAUGCUUGCACACGUAUUGCUGGCUUGCUGCUAACUCUAAAGCCUUGCCCUGAUAGACAUUCAGAGGUCCACUACCACCAAAACCAUCCUGUGUGACGGUGGUGCCCCCCAAUGCUAGCUCAAAUAAAGACCCUGCUGUGAGUUGCAUCAAAUCUCCUGUGUGUGGUUUUGGGGAUCACUAACAUUUCCCUGGCACCACACUCCCUAGGGAGGAGAUGUGGAGAGAGAGCUUCCAGCAGCUCGUCGUGUGGCUCCUUACCCAAUUCUACUUCUGCUCAGCUUAGGUGAGACGUAGCUCUUUUUACAGCCUUUGUGUCAUGAAGGCAAAGGGGCAAAGGUUCCAAGGCCAAGAGGGCACUUGGAGUCUCCGAAGCGAAGUCUCUGACGUCCUCUCCUGGCUGGGGGUUCCCAGAGGCCGCAAGCAACUUGAUCCCAUUUCUCACCUGCUCAGAAGCAGUGUCUGCACAGGCCCUUAGCCAAAAAGUCCAGAUGAAAAUGUUCGGGGGAACCUGUGCUAUGGAGCAGUGGGAGAGGCUCAGAGGUCAGUGGGCCACAGCCAGUCCCUGGGCCAUACCUGCUGAGGCAGGAGCUUGGAUGUGUGCUGCAGUCAUGAGGUGCAGAUAGGGGGGAGGAAGUUAUUUUGCUUGUGAGAUAGUCAGGCAUACACACACACACACACACACACACACACACACACACACACACACAAUAAUACCCGCUCCCUGAGAGAAACAGCAGGUAAGCUAUUGUGGUGUCACGUGACCAGUAUUCGACCAGCUGAGGUAGCUGGAUUGCUAUGAGUUCAAGGCCAUCCUGAGCCCCUGGUGAGGAGAGAGACAAGAUGGUAGACUGAUAGAUUUGAAAGCUCCAGCUGUUCUAGACCUUGUUCCCUAUCUCAUGGCUUUUUGGUGGCAGGUGGCUUUCUUUAUCAUGGCACCAAACAGUCCUACCCUCAGCAGCUUACCCUGUCCCCAAGGUCACGGUCGUGGCUUGAGCAUGUCCCUUGAGGUUUACGUGUUGGAAACCAAGUCCCCAGUGAGACUGUGUUGACAGGCGGGAAGAUCCGGAGACGCCUGACCUCGGCAAUGCGUUAAUGCUUUCUCUGGAGAGCAUCCACCAUCUGCCUCCCCCUCCUCCCAGCCCAGAGCUAUCUGUAUACCUCUGUUCCUUCAAGGUUCCUGCCCUCAUUGCUCUGUGGUUGCACUGAGCAGGCAGAGAUGCCUGACAGGACCCAUCCUCAAGGCCGGCCUGCUACUUGGGUGUCAGGCUUGCUAGAUGAGCUGUGCCCCAUGCCCUGGCAUGAAGGAUUCCAGUGCUGUGAACAUCCCUGACCACACUGGGGACACCACAGCCAGGCCCAUGAUUGUGCCAAGACCAGCCAUAACCCGCACCCCAAGCUGCCUCGGGCAUGUCUUUGCUGUCCUUCAAGGGUGUCCAGGUUACCAUGUAGACACUCAUGAAGGGGCAACUUCCUCUUUAGAAGGUCAAAUUGGAUGUGGUAAGUGGCAGACAGACAGGAGGACACCAUGAUUCCCAGAGAGGCUGAGGAGACCCCAAGGUUGGAGGGGUGAGGGGGUGAAGUGGAAAAAUCUUGCUAACUGGGCAGAGUUGAUCUUUGACGUCGCCGUGUGUUUGCUGAGACCUGACCCAAGGCACACUUUCAUCUCUCAUGGAAAACUUGUUCACUGCCAGGGUCAAAGUGUCUGUGGGUACCCAGGCAGCGGGUUGCUCAGUGAGGGCAGAGGUGGGGGUGGAGAAAGGACUAGAAACUGAGGGCCGCUGCAGGCCAGCAGGCCUCAGGCCUCAGAAACUAAGAGGGGAGGGCUCUCAACAAAGGAGCCAUGUGGCCCACCCUCUCUGCUCCCUGUGGCUGCCAAGGAUAAACUGCAGAGGGUUGAGCAGCCACAGCUGCUGCAGCUGCUGAGGAUGACAGCUGAGGGGUCACAUACUGCAUAGAUCUUCUGCAGUACGUGAGGAGAGAGACCCACGGUCCCCAGACUCUCAGGCUGAGCACCUGGAAGCUGGAGUGGAGCCAGUACAGGAGCUGGAAGAACUGUGUCCAUAGCAACAGGUAGUUGGAGAGGUCUGGCUGAUGGACAGCUGGGAUUAUGAGUACUUCCGGCUCCAGGACCAGGAAGAUGGAUGGCUCAGUCAAAACGCUUGCUGCCCAGCCUAAUGACUGGAGUUCAAUCCCCAGGACCCCGGGACAUGUUGAAGGAAGAGAACUGACUCCCUUGGGAUAUCCUGACUUCCACUCACGCUGUGGCAUGCACAUGCAUACAUACCCACAGGAAGGGGGCAUCAGCGAGAAGUGAGGGAAUCCAAGGGCGGUCCUAGUGCUUCUAGCAAAGGGGAAAGGCCCUCAGAAGCCAAAACAGGUGCAGGGGGUCUUGACGCACAUUAAAGUGGCCUAAGGAGGAAGUGUGGUCAGUGGUAACUAGUGGUGCCAGGCGGCCGAAACAGGAACAUUGCCACACAGGUCACAGCGUCCUUUGCCAAGGUUGGGUGAAGUAAGAACUUUAUUUGAAUAGGGUUCAGGCACCAGCCAAGUAGAGGACUGGAGAUGUUUCUGAAGGAGUAGAGGAAGGGAAAGAGACAGAGGGCACAGAGGGAGGGCGAGAGCAGGUGUGUGAAUGUGCCCGAGUGUGGGUGGCCGGGCACUCGAGCUAUCCCAAUCAUGCCCUGUCCUCCCUUCUGAGAAACCCCCUUCACGGCCGUCCCCAGGCAGCCUGGAAGGGCGCUGUAAAGCUCCAGUCCCUGGAAGGUGAAUGUGGCUGGUCCUGGUGUGGAAACCUUUCAGAAUGACACCUUGGGAAGACUAGCAGAGGUGCUGCUUGUCUGGAGAGAAGGGGGCUCAGCCAGGGACAUGGGCACCUCUUUUUGUGGUGAUAGGACAUGGAUGUCCGGGAGAGCACAGGUACAGGUGAUGGUGUUUGCACCCACUCUGAUACACUUCGCACAUCACAGUAGGUGCGCUGUGACAUCGUCGUCGAUGCACAUGAUACAUAUCAGUCACAUUUGCCCCAAGCCCUUCCUUGGUCCCUUCUAGUCCCAGCCAUCCCCCUUCCCACCUCUCCCCCUUCUACUUAAUUGUUUUUCCUUUGAUUUUUACUUAUAGAUGGGUGUUUGCUGGGAAUCAAACCUGAGUCCUCUGGAACAGCACACAGGCAGGAAGUGCUCUUAAUGGCCAAGUCCUCUCUCCAGCCCCCACACCGUGUGUGUGUGUGUGUGUGUGUGUGUGUGUGUGUGUGUCCCUGUUCCACUGAGUUUUACUGUGUUGUUUCCAGGAACAUGGGAAACAGUGGCUUCUCUCCCUUCCCUAGCAAGAGCUGAGUGCACAUAAACCCUCUGGGGAGGGGAGUGCUACAGGCCACUCUCUUCACUAUGAGACAUGGACUUACAUGUCCUAGGCCAGCCUCUUACCGUGUAUUGAGUAGGAUAACCUGGAACUUAGAGGUCAUCCUGCUGCCUUCACUUCCCCAGUGCUGGCAUGACGGCAGACAUGCCUGUGUAUAUAGUGCUGAGGACUAAGCCCAGGGCCUCCAACAUCUAGGAAAGGUUUUUUACCACUGAGCUACCAUGCAACCAUGGUUUUAGCUUUCGUGGUCAUCUUCUCAGUGAGGAGGGAUGGGGCUGGAAGAGUCCAUUCACCGACCACCUGGAAGUGUUCCCUGACCCAGGCACUACCUGGAGCCUGACACUGGGGCAGGGGGACAGCCUAGGAAAGCACAGAGGUUCAGGCCAUGACAGCCCCAAGGAGGAGCUGCUGCCAGACUCUCUGGGUUCUACAUGGCCAGCCACUCAUCAGCUAGGGACUUGGCCUAGGAAACUGACUGCAUGUCUGAAGGCUGGCCACAUAGCUGUAAUAUGAGUCAGGGAGAGUCUCAGAGAUCAAGAAGAAGGUAUUCCCAAUGUCAGGAUGAGCAGAGCCAGGGUUGAAAGUGGCCAGGAGCCUGAGUUGGUAUGUGUAGGUCCUCCUGUCGUGGGCCCCACCCCACCCAGGUCCUAGCUUACUGUCACCUGGCUGAACCAAAACUUACCUGGUCUUUAAGGAUGAACUCUGGCCUUUCUCUGAUCAGAGGGGCUCCGGCUCGCCCACCUUCCUUCUUGUCUAUCCCACUGGUCUCUCAAGGCUCAACACAAGGAAGGUAACUUACUAGAAGAGAAUCGUCUGAGACACAUAGCAAAGCUGUACAAAAAGCUGCCAUGGCCCAGCUGGGAGGACCAUCCCAGGACAGUGCUCCGGUAUGAAUAGGCAGUUCACACACUAGCCAGUAAAGAUAUGCGGCUGUGCCAGGAGUCCAUAAAUGGGCAGUCUCUUGUUUUGCCCGGCGGCCAGGCUAAAAUUGAACAGCAUUUGGCCAGCCUGUCACAGCCAGGUGGGGACUGUGAACAGGCCAAGUGGGAAGUCUCGAAGUCAUCAUUGGUCAAGCUAAAGGGGAGGGGCUCCUCAGACCGCCCUGGCAGUGCCCAGAAAGGCCAACAUUUCUUUAUAGUGCUGGGGACUGAUCCCAGAGUCUCACAUGUCACCAUUCCUUUUGUAGGUAGGCAUCCUAUCCCAGGACUCCUGGAUCCAGCCAAACCUGAUCAUCCAGCCUUUCUCAUUCAACGAACUGGUGGCUCAUUACAUCCAGGUACAGCACAGCCACAGGCAAGAACAGAACCUGCACACAUCUUCUCAUCUGCCCAAUGGAGUCAGAGACUCUCGCCCCAGAGGACAUUGUGAGGGCCAACUGGGCCCCCACCGGCAUGGCCUCGCGGAGCACAGAGAUUAUCCCAGUAACUGACUUGUUAUGACCUCAUUCUUAUUUUAACAUUUAUUUUAUUUUAUGUGUA